GGCCAGGUGGCGUAUUGGUAUCGCGCUCUGGAGGCCUGUAUCUUGGGUCAGGUAUAUAUCUUGGAGAGAAGCAGGUUCGAUUCCUGUCUUGGCUA